rnacentral:siRNA from 1 species
CGAGGGCAGUCCGCCAACUGAGGA